UACAGAGGGGGCAAGCGUUAUUCGGAAUUAUUGGGCGUAAAGGGCGCGUAGGCGGCUUUGCAAGUGACGGGUGAAAUCCCUCGGCUUAACCGAGGAACUGCCUGUCAAACUGCAUGGCUUGAGACCGGGAGAGGUGAGUGGAAUUCCCAGUGUAGCGGUGAAAUGCGUAGAUAUUGGGAGGAACACCAGUGGCGAAGGCGGCUCACUGGACCGGUACUGACGCUGAUGCGCGAAAGCGUGGGGGAGCAAACAGG
rnacentral:rRNA from 1 species